GUCCACGCGGUAAACGAUGACGACUAGGUGUGGGGGGGUUAAGUCCCUUCCGUGCCGCAGCUAACGCAUUAAGUCGUCCGCCUGGGGAGUACGGCCGCAAGGUUGAAACUCAAAGGAAUUGACGGGGGCCCGCACAAGCGGUGGAGCAUGUGGUUCAAUUCGAUGCAGAGCGAAGAACCUUACCUGGGCUUGACAUGUAGGAAGUAGAAACCCGAAAGGGUGACGACCUGUUGAGUCAGGAGCCUACACAGGUGGUGCAUGGCUGUCGU
rnacentral:rRNA from 1 species